GACGAACGCUGGCGGCGUGCUUAACACAUGCAAGUCGAACGGAAAGGCCCUGCUUUUGUGGGGUGCUCGAGUGGCGAACGGGUGAGUAACACGUGAGUAACCUGCCCUUGACUUUGGGAUAACUUCAGGAAACUGGGGCUAAUACCGGAUAGGAGCUCCUGCUGCAUGGUGGGGGUUGGAAAGUUUCGGCGGUUGGGGAUGGACUCGCGGCUUAUCAGCUUGUUGGUGGGGUAGUGGCUUACCAAGGCUUUGACGGGUAGCCGGCCUGAGAGGGUGACCGGCGACGUGGGGACGAAGGCACGCCCCGGAGUCGAAGGGGAGGGAGCAGGGGGGAAUAUGGCACAAGGGGCGGAGGCCGGACGCAGCGAGGCGGGGGGGGGGAUGACGGCUGCGGGGUUGUAGACCGCGUGCGCCGGUGAGGGAGCGGGAGUGAGGGAAAGGGGAAAAGAAGCACCGGAAAACUACGUGCCAGACGACGGGGUAAGAGGCGGAAGCGCACAGGUACAAC
rnacentral:rRNA from 1 species